rnacentral:rRNA from 1 species
CCUACGGGUGGCAGCAGUGGGGAAUAUUGGACAAUGGGGGAAACCCUUAUCCAGCGACGCCGCGUGAGGGAAGAAGGUUUUCGGAUUGUAAACCUCUGUCAGUGGGGAAGAUAAUGACGGUACCUACGGAGGAAGCCACGGCUAACUACGUGCCAGCAGCCUCGGGAAUACGUAGGUGGCAAGCGUUGUACGGAUUUACUGGGUGUAAAGGGAGCGUAGGCGGUAUGUCAAGUAAGAAGUGAAAGUUAUGGGCUCAACACAUAAACUGCUAUUGAAACUGAUAGUCGUGAGUGAAGUAGAGGCAAGCGGAAUUCCUGGUGUAGCGGUGAAAUGCGUAGAUAUUAGGAGGAACACCAGUGGCGAAGGCGGCUUGCUGGGCUUUUACUGACGCUGAGGCUCGAAAGCGUGGGGAGCAAACAGGAUUAGAUACCCGGGUAGUC